GAUGAACGCUGGCGGCGUGCCUAAUACAUGCAAGUCGAGCGAACAGAUAAGGAGCUUGCUCCUUUGACGUUAGCGGCGGACGGGUGAGUAACACGUGGAUAACCUACCUAUAAGACUGGGAUAACUUCGGGAAACCGGAGCUAAUACCGGAUAACAUAUUGAACCGCAUGGUUCAAUAGUGAAAGGCGGCUUUGCUGUCACUUAUAGAUGGAUCCGCGCCGUAUUAGCUAGUUGGUAAGGUAACGGCUUACCAAGGCAACGAUACGUAGCCGACCUGAGAGGGUGAUCGGCCACACUGGAACUGAGACACGGUCCAGACUCCUACGGGAGGCAGCAGUAGGGAAUCUUCCGCAAUGGGCGAAAGCCUGACGGAGCAACGCCGCGUGAGUGAUGAAGGUCUUCGGAUCGUAAAACUCUGUUAUCAGGGAAGAACAAAUGUGUAAAUAACUGUGCACAUCUUGACGGUACCUGAUCAGAAAGCCACGGCUAACUACGUG
rnacentral:rRNA from 1 species